CUUGAAACUGGCAUGCCUGUUCAAAACAUCUCCAGGACAACAAGGUUAUUUUGUGUUGACGUGUAUUGAAUUCUUAAGGGCAAAGGUAACUCUUAACAGGCAAAUUCUGUAGAAACUCCAUAAAAAGAAAUAUUAACUCACUAAGACCAUUCAUGAAACAUCAGUAAGCUGCAGUUUGCAUAGCCAGUCAGUAAUAUUUUAGUUCUUGCAAUUGCGACUGCUUGUAAAAAAAAAAUGCAAUGAUGCCACCAACAAUAACCAAUACAAUGUUGUGCCAGAUAACCUCAAAUAUAAUUAGCCUACUUCCUAUUUGUGCAAACCCAUCAGAUACCUUUGAAAAAAACAAAAGUGCAAAGAUGCUUUGUCUGAAAUUAGUUCCCUUACCGUUUAAUUUGGAGCAAGUGAAACAAUCACGGGCUUGUGUUAUCUGUAGGGUCUCCGUUGUUGUCAACUGCUUCUCGGAGAGCUGGAUGGAGAGGGUUUGCAGUGUCUGUAUUCCAAUUGGUUGUCAGGGUUUUGCAUUGGAAAUGCAUCAGUGAACAAAUCGCCUGCUUGUGCCAUCCGUAAGAAGAUGAAGGAGAAUGCGUGCAGUGGGCUGAAUGGAGAAUUCGUGAAUCAAAGGCAACACCAUCAAAUGCAUUAUGAAAUUAAGCACUAUCAGGUUGUCAAGGCUGUAGCUCAGCGGGUACAUGGUCCUGGAUACCAGAUUUUUUUGAAAACUAUUUAUAUAUGGAAUCUGAAUGCACUCCAGGAUAUGCUGCAGUUCUUUGUGCCACAAGAGGCCAAGCUCUACUACAAGACGUUGAGGCAGAAGAUGAAGAUUAUUACAAAUUAUCCAAGUCAGUUCCGACCAAGUAAUUUGAUUGGACAAGAGGCAUUCCAGUGCUGAUAUAGAGUAGCCUGGCGAUGUCAUACUCAUAAUUCUAGUCAGAAUAUGAGUCUGAGACCGAACCAUUGGGCUGUGAUUAUAGGGCGGAACCAGGAAGGAAAAUGCCUCUUCGCUCAAUUGGAUAG
ensembl:lncRNA